UGUACAGCGAUGAUAAAGAGUAGUACGUAUUUUCCUUCGUUUUAGAGAGUUUGUGGCUGGUGAAAACAAACACGAAUCAAUACGGAAUGGACUUUGGAGCUUCUUUCUGAACCUUUUUAUAGUAGGAAUAGACGUGAUCCUUGCGUUAAAGGGAUUCAUAAUUACGUUUAAUUAUGAAGCAAGAGUGACUCAUUUUGAGUAAUUUAGGGUGGUACCGCGAACCAUUCGUCCCUAUC
rnacentral:ncRNA from 2 species